rnacentral:rRNA from 6 species
GCAUAUCAAUAAGCGGAGGAAAAGAAACCAACAGGGAUUGCCUCAGUAACGGCGAGUGAAGCGGCAACAGCUCAAAUUUGAAAUCUGGCCUCUUUGGGGUCCGAGUUGUAAUUUGUAGAGGAUGUUUCGGGUACCGCCUCGGUUUAAAUUUCUUGGAACAGAAUGUCAGAGAGGGUGAGAAUCCCGUCUUGGACCGGCGGUAGGGCCCAUGUGAAACUCCUUCGACGAGUCGAGUUGUUUGGGAAUGCAGCUCAAAAUGGGUGGUAAAUUUCAUCUAAAGCUAAAUAUUGGCCAGAGACCGAUAGCGCACAAGUAGAGUGAUCGAAAGAUGAAAAGCACUUUGAAAAGAGAGUUAAACAGUAUGUGAAAUUGUUGAAAGGGAAGCGCUUACAACCAGACUUGAGCGCGGCGGUUCCCCCUUCCUUUUGGUUGGGUUACUCCGCCGUGUCCAGGCCAACAUCGGUUCUGGGGGUCGGUCAAAGGCUUUGGGAAUGUAUCUACCCUUCGGGCGUAGACUUAUAGCCCAGAGUGUCAUGCGGCCUCCCGGGACCGAGGAACGCGCUUCGGCUCGGAUGUUGGCGUAAUGGUUGUCAGCGACCCGUCUUGAAACACGGACC